GCGGUUGUGGCUUAAUGGCAGAGUACUCACCUAGCAUAUGUGAGGCACUGGGUUCAAACCUCAGCACCACA
rnacentral:tRNA from 1 species